rnacentral:rRNA from 1 species
CGUGUCGUGAGAUGUGGUUAAGUCCGCAACGAGCGCAACCCUCGCCUCUAGUUGCCAGCAUUCGGUUGGGCACUCUAGAGGGACGUGCCGGCGACAAGUCGGAGGAAGGUGGGGAUGACGUCAAAUCAUCAUGCCCCUUAUGACCUGGGCUACACACGUGCUACAAUGGGCGGUACAAAGGGCUGCGAACCCGCGAGGGGGAGCGAAUCCCAAAAAGCCGCUCUCAGUUCGGAUUGCAGGCUGCAACUCGCCUGCAUGAAGCCGGAAUCGCUAGUAAUCGCGGAUCAGCAUGCCGCGGUGAAUACGUUCCCGGGCCUU